GACGAACGCUGGCGGCGUGCCUAAUACAUGCAAGUCGAACGAGUGGCGGACGGGUGAGUAACACGUGGGAACCUACCCAUCAGAGGGGGAUAACACUUGGAAACAGGUGCUAAUACCGCAUACUGAGGGAUGGACCCGCGGUGCAUUGGCUAGUAGGUGGGGUAAAGGCGAACCUAGGCGACGAUCUCUAGCGGGUCUGAGAGGAUGAUCAGCCACACUGGGAAUGAGACACGGACCAGACUCCUACGGCAGGCAGCAGUGGGGAAUAUUGCACAAUGGGCGCAAGCCUGAUGCAGCCAUGCCGCGUGUAUGAAGAAGGCCUUAGGGUUGUAAAGUACUUUCAGCGGGGAGGCGUUACCCGCAGAAGAAGCACCGGCUAACUCCGUGCCAGCCGCCGCGGUAAUUC
rnacentral:rRNA from 1 species